CCUACGGGUGGCUGCAGUGAGGAAUAUUGGUCAAUGGACGCAAGUCUGAACCAGCCAUGCCGCGUGCAGGAUGACGGCUCUAUGAGUUGUAAACUGCUUUUGUACGAGGGUAAACCCUGAUACGUGUAUCGGGUUGAAAGUAUCGUACGAAUAAGGAACGGCUACCUCCGUACCAGCAGCCGCGGUAAUACGGAGGAUUCGAGCGUUAUCCGGAUGUUUGGGGUUUAACGGGUGCGUAGGUGGAUUGAUAAGUUAGAGGUGAAAUGUCGGGGCUCAACCCCGAAACUGCCUCUAAUACUGUGGGACUAGAGAAUAGUUGCGGUAGGCGGAAUGUAGGGUGUAGCGGUGAAAUGCUUAGAGAUCAUACAGAACACCGAUGGCGAAGGCAGCUUACCAAACUAUAUCUGACGUUGAGGCACGAAAGCGUGGGUAGCAAACAGGAUUAGAUACCCCGGUAGUC
rnacentral:rRNA from 1 species